AGAAUCAACGCUGGCGGCGUGCCUAACACAUGCAAGUCGCACGAGAAAGGGUAGCAAUACCGUGAGUAAAGUGGCGCACGGGUGAGUAACACGUGACUAACCUACCCUGGAGUGGGGGAUAACUGAGGGAAACCUUAGCUAAUACCGCAUAACACCUACGGGUCAAAGGAGCAAUUCGCUUCAGGAGGGGGUCGCGGCCGAUUAGUUAGUUGGCGGGGUAAUGGCCCACCAAGACGAUGAUCGGUA
rnacentral:rRNA from 1 species